rnacentral:lncRNA from 1 species
AGCAACAAUGAAAAUGCUGAUCAGAAUGUGAACAAUGUCGCUGAGAGGAAUGCCAACAAUGAAAAUGCAGGUCAGAGUGAGAACAAUGCUGCUCAGAGCAAUACCAACAACGAAAAUGCAGGUCAGAAUGAGAACAAUGCUGCUCAGAGAAACAAUGAAAAUGCACGUCAGAAUGAGAACAAUGAUGCUGUUCAGAGCAACACCAACAACAAUGAAAACACAAAUUACAAUGAGAACAAUGCUGCCCAGACCUACAAUAAUGAAAAUUCAGGGCAGAAUGAGAACAAUGCUUCUCAGAGCUACAGCGACAAC